rnacentral:rRNA from 1 species
AGAGUGAACGCUGGCGGCAGGCCUAACACAUGCAAGUCGAACGGCAGCACAGGGGAGCUUGCUCCCUGGGUGGCGAGUGGCGGACGGGUGAGGAAAACGUCGGAAUCUGCCUAUUUGUGGGGGAUAACGUAGGGAAACUUACGCUAAUACCGCAUACGACCUACGGGUGAAAGCGGAGGACCUUCGGGCUUCGCGCAGAUAGAUGAGCCGACGUCGGAUUAGCUAGUUGGCGGGGUAAAGCCCACCAAGGCGACGAUCCGUAGCUGGUCUGAGAGGAUGAUCAGCCACACUGGAACUGAGACACGGUCCAGACUCCUACGGGAGGCAGCAGUGGGAAUAUUGGACAAUGGGCGCAAGCCUGAUCCAGCCAUGCCGCGUGUGUGAAGAAGGCCGUUGGUGUAAAGCACUUUUGUUAGGGAAGAAAAGCCGUACGGUUAAUACCCGGUAGUCAUGACGGUACCCAAAGAACUAAGCAACCGGUCUAAC